rnacentral:rRNA from 1 species
UACGUAGGUGGCAAGCGUUGUCCGGAUUUACUGGGCGGAAAGAGCGCGCAGGCGGUCGAGUAAGUCGAAUGUGAAAGCCCCCGGCUUAACUGGGGAGGGUCAUUCGAUACUGUUCGACUUGAAGGCAGGAGAGGGCAGCAGAAUUCCCGGUGUAGUGGUGAAAUGCGUAGAUAUCGGGAGGAAUACCAGUGGCGAAGGCGGCUGCCUGGCCUGUUCUUGACGCUGAGGCGCGAAAGCUGGGGGAGCAAACGGG